AAAAACUGACGCUCAGGUGCGAAAGCGUGGGGAGCAACCAGGAUUAGAUACCCUGGUAGUCCACGCUGUAAACGAUGUCGAUUAGAAGGUUGUUGCCUUCAGGAGUGACUUUCGGAGCUAACGCCUUAAAUCGUCCUCCUGGGGAGUACGGCCGCAAGGUUAAAACUCAAAUGAAUUGACGGGGGCCCGCACAAACGGUGGAGCAUGUGGUUUAAUUCGAAGCAACGCGAAGAACCUUACCUAGUCUUGACAUCCAGAGAACUUAGCAGAGAUUCGGUAUUUCCUUCGGGAACCAGAGACAGGUGGGCAUGGCUGUCGUCAACUCGUGUUGUGAAAUGUUGGGUUAAGUUCCGCAACGAGCGCAACCCUUAUCCUUUGUUGCCAGCGAUUCGGUCGGGAACUCAAAGGAGACUGCCGGUGAUAAACCGGAGGAAGGUGGGGAUGACGUCAAGUCAUCAUGCCCCUUACGAGUAGGGCUACACACGUGCUACAAUGGCGGAUACAAAGAGAAGCRACCUCGCGAGAGCAAGCGGAUCUCAUAAAGUCCUUCGUAGUCCGGAUUGGAGUCUGCAACUCGCCUCCAUGAAGUCGGAAUCGCUAGUAAUCGUAGAUCAGAAUGCUCCGGUGAAUACGUUCCCGGCCCUGUACACACCGCCCGUCCCCCCAGGGAGUGGGUCCAAAAGAAGUAGGUAGGUUAACCUUCGGAAGGGCGCUCCUCAC
rnacentral:rRNA from 1 species